GGGCUGUGGCUCAGUCGUAGAACAGCUGCCUUGCAAGCAGGUCCCGAGUUCAAAUCCCAGUGGCAUCG